rnacentral:tRNA from 1 species
GCAGUGGUGGUUCACUAGUAGAAUUCUCAUCUUUCAUGUGGGAGACCUGGGUUCGAUUCACUGCCCGUGCA